ACGAACGCUGGCGGCAUGCCUAACACAUGCAAGUCGAACGAGACCUUCGGGUCUAGUGGCGCACGGGUGCGUAACGCGUGGGAACCUGCCCUUAGGUUCGGAAUAACUCCCCGAAAGGGGUGCUAAUACCGGAUAAUGUCUUCGGACCAAAGAUUUAUCGCCUUUGGAUGGGCCCGCGUUGGAUUAGCUAGUUGGUAGGGUAAAAGCCUACCAAGGCGACGAUCCAUAGCUGGUCUGAGAGGAUGAUCAGCCACACUGGGACUGAGACACGGCCCAGACUCCUACGGGAGGCAGCAGUGGGGAAUAGUGGACAAUGGGCGAAAGCCUGAUCCAGCAAUGCCGCGUGAGUGAUGAAGGCCUUAGGGUUGUAAAGCUCUUUUACCCGGGAUGAUAAUGACAGUACCGGGAGAAUAAGCUCCGGCUAACUCCGUG
rnacentral:rRNA from 1 species